rnacentral:tRNA from 1 species
GCCUGGUUAGCUCAGCGGUAGAGCGCUCGGCUGUUAACCGAAAGGUCGGAGGUUCGAACCCUCCACCAGGCG